GAUGAACGCUGGCGGCGCGCCUAACACAUGCAAGUCGAACGGUUAAAGCACCUUUGGGGGUGUAUAAAGUGGCGAACGGCUGAGUAACACGUGGGCAACUGGCUGCUUGCAUUGGGUAAGCCACGGGAAAGCGUGGUUAAUACGGAUUAGUUCGAGGCGUCCACAUGGAAGACUCGAGGAAGCCCCGGUGGCGAGGGAGGGGCGCGCGGCCUGGUAGCUUGUUGGGGGAGUAACGGCCCACCAAGGCAAUGAGGGGCCGCUGUGAUGAGAGACGGAACAGCGAGCUUGGGCCUGCGACAGGGACCAGACGCCUACGGGAGGCAGCAGUGGGGAACCUUGCACAGUGGGCGAGCGCCUGUUAAGGCGGUGCCCGGUGCGGGAUGAAGGCCUUCGGGUUGUAAACCGCUUUCAGCAGGGACGAGGCGAAAGUGACGGUACCUGCAGAAGAAGCCCCGGCUAACUACGUG
rnacentral:rRNA from 1 species